GACGAACGCUGGCGGCGUGCUUAACACAUGCAAGUCGAACGGAAAGGCCCUGCUUUUGUGGGGUGCUCGAGUGGCGAACGGGUGAGUAACACGUGAGUAACCUGCCCUUGACUUUGGGAUAACUUCAGGAAACUGGGGCUAAUACCGGAUAGGAGCUCCUGCUGCAUGGUGGGGGUUGGAAAGUUUCGGCGGUUGGGGAUGGACUCGCGGCUUAUCAGCUUGUUGGUGGGGUAGUGGCUUACCAAGGCUUUGACGGGUAGCCGGCCUGAGAGGGUGACCGGCCACAUUGGGACUGAGAUACGGCCUAGACUCAUACGGGAGGCAACAGUGGGGAAUAUUGCACAAUGGGCGGAAGCCUGAUGCAGCAACGCCGCGUGCGGGAUGACGGCCUUCGGGUUGUAAACCGCUUUCGCCUGUGACGAAGCGUGAGUGACGGUAAUGGGUAAAGAAGCACCGGCUAACUACGU
rnacentral:rRNA from 1 species